rnacentral:lncRNA from 10 species
CGCAAAGAUAUUUGCUCACUUUUCUAUCUUAGUGUCUCCUACACUUAGCUGUCGGUGUGGAAGAAACUGCUAAUGAAGGCUUCAUGGAUAAAGUAAGUUUCCUAAAAAGUGAAAAUCAGGCCCACAAUUUUGAAAUCCAGAAAAGUCUAAAAAUCCAAAUUUUUUUCUUUACUUUAUAGCAAAAUCUGACUGAAAUUUAUAUGAGGUUUAAUCUAUUUUACCCCAUUUAGUGUGAGAAUUUACAAAUUUCCCUGCAGAAUCACUGAUGGAUCUGGUUGUGGGGUACCACCCAGGUCUCCAACUGGGACACAGUACAACAUAUAAGGUACAUGAACUAAUCUUUUUCAGAAAAGGUUUUGGAUCAGGGACCAUGGAUUCUGGAGUGCUGGAAAAGAAAGAGGGAAGGAAUCGCUAGCAGAGGAGUCACAGGAACACAGAAGAAAUGCUUGAAGGAAUCUGACUUGGAAGAAGAAAACAUUUUCCCCACCGUGAAAGAAAACACUGCCCAGCUAGCACAAAAACCACUGCCACCUGGCUGGCCCAGGUGAACCACCCUUGCAUUCCAGAGGCAAGGCAGACUCUCUUCUUCUUGACCGUACUUAUUCAGGAAAUAUUUACUGAGAUCCAUAUGUGCCAGAAAACACUAAGGAAAUAAACUUCUUGCCCACAAGGAGGUCACGACACUGAGGAAAGAAUAUCAAGCUUCACGGCCAGAAGGGUCUGAGAAAAAGCCUAUCAAUUCCCCAUGUUCCCCUGAGGAAACAUUGUCAAAGCCACAAAUGUCCCACCAGGAGCCAGUGAACAGCAGAGCUGUGAAAACCAAUUCAUCUUCAAAUAAUCUAAAAUCUUGAUUUCCCCCAUCCUGAAUAAUAACUAUUGCAGAGCAUUGUAAAACUAUGACAACUAUAGUCCGUACUAUUUUAAAACUGUGGGUGGGAGGAAGGAGACAUCGUAGAAUUGUGAGAACUAAUGACACACACAUCAUGAGAUGUACCUCAAAGAAAAAGGCUGACAACUCCUGAGAUAGAAAUAAAGUUGCCUCUAAAAUCACAAGAUAUUAGAGUAGAAAUACCACAAAAAGUGACAGUGACAGUACUAUGAAGAUAAGCAUGUAGAACCAGAGGCAAAAUUCAGCUCUAACAUCAGGAUGCCAUGAAGGGGUGUGUCAAGCCACCCCAAAAGACUGAAAAGGGACUUGCCCAGUGUGGGGAGCCUGGGGGGAUCCCCACAAAGCAUGGUACCUCCUUCUUCUCAUUAUUUACCAGCAGUAUCUCCUUAGCCACUAGACUGAUGCUCUGGGGAAGAGGAAGCAGCACAGGGCCUAGCACACAGGCCACAAUAACAAGGCUGAUGCUUAGUGUCUGGAUGGAACAAACUGUCCACAUUCAUUUUUUAAGGUUUCCCAUGUAUGCCUCAAAAUAAUAAGCAAAUGUAGAAAGAAUCCAGAAGAGAGGAAAAUUCAAAAUCUGUCUGAACGUGCCUCUGCCAUACACAACUACUCUGUGAUAUUAUAGGCUCUAUAAACAAUUUAUUUCCACCUGAUGCUUCACUUCUGGAAACUCCACAGAUUCUAAAAACUUGGGGCUUUCCUAGGUAAACUUAACCCUUCCAAGAUUACUUUAUUUCAGUGCUUAAUAUAUUUUAAAACAGUACAAAUCUUUUAUGUGAUGCAAAAGUAGAGAUUUCUUCCGUGGAGGAGAUGCAGAGGCCCCAGAAGGACACAAAACAACUGGAAGAGAUAUUUUUACAUGUUCUCAACACAAAGAAAUGAUAAAUGUAUGAGGUGAUGAGUAUGCUAACUAUCCUGAUUUGAUCAUUAUACAACACAGACGUAUAUCAAAAAAUCAAACUGUACCCCAUCAAUAUAUGCAAUACAAUGUGUCAAUUAAAAACUAUUUUUUUAAAAAGGUAGGAGGGAGAUACUCUCCAGAAUGCUAAUUUGAAUUCUUACAGCAAAAGGCAGCAUUUAAAUGUUUCACUGUUCUUUUAUAAAUCGGUAAUGCAGAAGCCCAAGGUAUGGUGGAAAGGCCCAGGGCAUGGGCUUGAGUCAGACCACCUACAAAUGAACAGUAUCAUUUAUUUACCAGCCUCCAGUUCCCUGGAGCAGCCAGGCCUGUCUUGGCCUUGGAGAGAAAGAAAAAUUCCACCAAGCCAGCUAGCACUGUACCAGUAAGGGGAGCGCUGUCUCAGUGGCCUUGAGCUUUUGGAAUCAAUUUUCUAAGAACUUUUCAGUUUACUUCUGCUUAAUUAAGGACAAAAAUCAUAGAUUCUCAAACAGAGAAAAUAAUCAGAGACAUUUAAGGCCUGUGACCAAA